AUACCUUUCUCGGCCUUUUGGUUAAGAUCAAGUGUAGUAUCUGUUCUUAUCAGUUUAAUUUCUGAUACGUGGGCUAAUGGCCCACAUGAUAUUAAAUUUAUUUUUUGAGGGGGAGGGCCCAUCACAGUAGCUUACUGCUGGGGCUCUCAAGUGUCGCCUUGGUGUUGCACUAUUACCUUGGCUUGGCGCACCCCAC